UUUCAUCUCAAUCUUCUCUUGUUUAAGUAGACUUUCAGUGUUUGUUGAAAGUUUGGAAAGUUCAUCUGAAAAUCACAAUAUUUCUUUCAAUGUUGACUCUGGAUUUUAUUUGAGUCUUCAAAUAUUGAAUCUUAGAAAAAACAAUUAGCGAUCAAUUGAAGUAUACAAUACUUUUACAAUUAGUACUGUUAGAACUGCCUCAUUGUUUAAUAGUCCUGUCUUAUUUAUCCCAGCACACUCUUAAUACAUGAGUUUGAUUAUUCCUGGACACAAAUAAAAUGGAUUUGUUAAGGAAUAGGGCAGUUCUAUACAGUACUACUUAUAGGAGGGUUGUGUUCUUCAGUUGUUUUUUUUAUUCUUGUACCAACUGGAUUGUUAUCAACAAAAAAGUUGAAUUUUGGAACAAACUUUGUGAUUUUUAAAAGAAUUUUCCCAACUUUAAAACAAACAGUUAAGGUCGAAAUAGGCUAGGAUAUUGCCUUUACUUCAUUACAAAGUGGAACCUAUUUGAAUGUGGAUGAACUGAAGCAGCAAACUAUACUUAAUUUUGGGGGCAAUGUGAGAUGGAGAAAAUAAAAGAAAAUUGAUUGUCAUGCAUGACAAGGAAAACCACAACCAGACUACAGGAUGAUGUUCUAGGUUUUAGGUUUAUUAAUAAAAAUUACAUUGCAACCAAGGGUUGGAUUACAUAAUUUACACUAACUAUCAAUUACUACUAUACUAUACAAAUUUUAAAAUUAUCAUUAAUUAUUUGCAUUUAAAACGAUUUGCACAUAGCAUGUGCAACAGAUCUCAUACCCCUAUUAGUCUUAAAUUUCGUUUCUGACUGUUAAUCUUCGCUUUGUGUCUGCAUGUAAGUUAGUUAUACAAUUUAUGUGAAGGAUCAGUCAAAUAGGUCACAGAUCAGUUUUUUGGCAUAUGAUUUGUAUUAUAGGGAAGGAAAAACAAUCGGCAUUCAAAAGUAUAUAUUAAUUUAAUUGUUAGGUAAAGCAAUCCAAUAAUUGGAAUAUUGAGGCUGAAGAUAAGAUCAACAGUUCUUUGUGCUAGGUGUUAAUCAAUGCACAAUUUGAAAUAAGAUUUGAAUCAAAAUUCAAGCACGGAAUUAACCAUGCAUAUUUUUAGUAUUCAUCAAAACUUGUGUGUGUUUCAUCACACAUAAGAUCGGCAAUGACUGAGAUGCCCUUUAUGUACCAAAUUUUAUACUCUAAUCUGAAUAAAAAGUUCUAGAUUUUAAAAUGCUAUUUUAUUUAAAUAAUAUGACCUACAACCCUAAUUUUUUUUUAAGUAUGAAAUUUUUCAAGCUUGAAUUUAAUAUUUUAUUUUUCUCGAAUCAGAUUCAAUUAAUUAAUUUCGUACCUUUGGGCUUUGGUUUGGAUACUGAGAUG